AGUCACUGACAUUAGAUACCCCGGUAGUCCCAGCCGUAAACUAUGCGCGUUAGGUGUACUGGUGACCACGAGUCGACCGGGGUGCCGAAGGGAAACCGUGAAACGUGCCGCCUGGGAAGUACGGUCGCAAGGCUGAAACUUAAAGGAAUUGGCGGGGGAGCACCGCAACGGGAGGAGCGUGCGGUUUAAUUGGAUUCAACACCGUAAAACUCACCAGGGAAGACUGUUACAUGAAAGCCGAGAUGAAGACUCUGCUAGAUUUUCAG
rnacentral:rRNA from 1 species